UAAAUACUUUAUCCAAUACUUAUGUGCAACAUACAAGAACGCCAUCUACAGCAACAUGCAUGUAUGUACCUCUCCAGUCAGCAGGGACGUUGAGCUUCGUAAUCUCUGCUCCCCAUUGGUGCGAGGUGGAUAUCACAAUCCUGCAACAACAGCAAACAAGAGGCCAUUCAGUUCUUUCAUUCAAGCUUGGACCAUCAACCAGUGAGGAUUCUUCCAAGUGAAUAGCUGAAUAAACUCUGACUUCACUAUGAACAAAUACUGAACUAGUUGCUACUUCACUAGUUUGGCAGUGCUUCAGGAAGACAGGAAAUACCAGUAGUUACCAUUUACCUUUCAGUAGGGCAAAAUUCAAUGGAGGAAAUUGGGGAGCCAAGAUGGACCUUCUUCAUCAAGUGAGAAACUUGCAUCUUCUGUACAUCGGCAACACAACAGUCUCCAUCACGGCUUCCUCUAGAUAAAGAUGAAAAAUGUAUCCAUGUCAGUACCACUUCACAGCCAAAAGAAGGAUGUCGCGUCGACGCGGAAGGCUCAGCAGAUCUAGACAAGCACAUUAAGUCGGACGAUGAACAAGUAGUAUGACAUGCAGACAAGCUCUUUUUGUUACGAAAUGUACGCAGAAUAGCAGAUGGAUUGUAGCUGAGAAGUGUGAGAAAAGACGAUUCAGAAAUUGUUUGAAUUCUGGAAAGGAAAAACUAUCCUGAAUACCUCAGACUUCGGCGAUGCAGGUAUGCCUAGGAAUGCUAAAUAUAGAAGUACUGUCACAGCCAGUAUUACAUGAGAUGCACCACCACAU